UCAACAACUCUGAUUCAGAACAGAAACCAGAUCUAGAACGGAGUGUUUGGCAUGGUGCAGCGGAAGAAGAUGUUUAGCAAUGGUGGAUUGGAAUGGAGGUUAGCUUGAAGAGGUGUUUACAACUCAGAAGGCUUCCACAAGAGGAAGAAAGUUGCAAUGGAGAGGCAAGCUAUGGAGAGACUCUUAGAAAGGAGAAAAUGACUAAGCAUUUCAACAGAGUUUUUCUAUGAAUAUCCAAAAGUGUAUUACAAGGGCUGCCUUGGAGGUUUUAUAGGAUAACCUCUCGGCAAUGCAAGGAAAAAACGUGACUCCAUGAAAUGUGGAUCUAAUUCCACGUGGACAACCAUGUGCUACAUGUGAUGCCCUUCUAGAAGGCUUAUUCUAGCAUGUGAAAAAUACAAUCUAUGCUAAGUGGCACGUGAUACAUGUGUAUACACUUAUGCAAACUCCUAUGCCGUGCCAAACAUGUGGAAAUAAUGUGCUUCUAGCCCUUUCCUUCUUUGGACCAUCUUGGCUCUUGAUCCUGAUCCCCUGGCUUCCAUUCAAGAAAUGUAAAAAAUAUCUGACCUUCUGGUGCUGGCUUGUUAAGUUCCUGCUGUAGUUGCCGAGCCAUCUGUCUUGUUAUAGGACCUGGAUGCAGCCUGCUAGGACCCCGCG
rnacentral:lncRNA from 1 species